rnacentral:lncRNA from 1 species
GUAGAGACAGGGUAUUUCUACCAGGCUGGUCUUGAACUCCUGGACUCAUCUUCCCAAAGAGCUAGUAUUAUAUACGUAAGCCACUACGUCUGGCCAAAAAUUCCUUUAAAUGGAGAUGGAUUCAAGAAUUCCUAGUGUGAAGAUCUGGCCUAAAAUUCCUUUAAAUGGAGACAGAUUCAAUAAUUCCUAGCGUGAAGAUGAUACUUUCAGGGAUAAUUUCUAUAAUUCGUUACUAGAAAAGUUUCUCUAAAUGUGUAGAGAAAAAAACAUUUCCUAGUUUGAAUCUUGAUUUGUGUAAUUCCUGGCUCUUAACCCUUUUCUAUUGUUGUCUUCUGUCCUCUCUGAAUUCUGAUGGGAUUUAUUAUCUUUAGGACACAAAUUGACACCGACAUGAUUUCUAAAUGUUUUAUUUGUGGGCAUCUAAUCUUAACUGGGGAGAUAAAGCAAUGAUGUGUAUCUUAUUACCUUUGUGGCUCAUAGACUCUAGCACAAUGCUGGGUACAUAGGUGACACUCAGACAAGCAUUAGUUAGCUAUGCACCCCUUUUUCUGCUUGCUAGGGAAAAGAUAUGCCCUUUAUCUCCUCUCCCUAUCCCCCUACCCCCAGUUUGGCUUGCUUAAUAGCCUUCCUUAGGUAGCCACAUUUGGAGAAUUCCUUUAAGCUUAGUAUUGCCAGUGCUGUCUUUGGUUGUAUAUUACACUUCUUUAUGGUGGAUUGAUGGAAAGAGUUGGUACCAUUGGAUUAGCUCAGCAGUGGUCAUUAGCUUUCUGACAAUAGCCAGCAAAAGUAUAAUAAUUACCCAGAUUAUUACAAGUAUAUGUUUGAAUCAGAUUCCACAUUUGUUGGUUUAUUCUAUAUUAAGAUUUUGAGAGUUCUGGAUAAAUAUGUUUAAGAACAGACUUCUUCUAUUUAUUUAUGUAUUUAUUUUAGAUGGAGUGUUGCUCUGUUGCCCAGGCUGGAGUGCAGUGGCGUGAUCUCGGCUCACUGCAACUUCCACCUCCUGGGUUCAAGUGAUUUUCCUGUCUCAGCCUCCCAAGUAGCUGGGCAUAUAGGCGUGUGCCACCAUGCCUGGCUAAUUUUUGUAUUUUUUGUAGAGACUGGGUUUCGCCAUGUUGGCCAAGCUGGUCUCGAACUCCUGGCCUCGGGUAACCCACCUGCCUCGGCCUCCCAAAAUACUGAGAUUACAGGCAUGAGCCACUGCACCCAGGCCAGACUUCUAUUUUUUUUUUUUUUUUUUUUUUUUUGAGACAGAUUCUCGCUCUGUUGCCCAGGCUGGAGUGCAGUGGUGUAAUCUCGGUUCACUGCAACCUCCGUCUCCCUGGUUCAAGCGAUUCUCCUGCCUCAGCCUCCCAAGUAGCUGGGAUUACAGGUGUGCACCACCACGCCCGGCUAAUGUUUUUGUAUUUUUAGUAGAGACGGGGUUUCACCAUGUUGGACAGGCUAGUCUUGAACUCCUGACCUCGUGAUCCACCCACCUCGGCCUCCCAAAGUGCUGGGAUUACAGGUGUGAGCCACUGUGCCUGGCUGACUUCUUUUAUUUUUAAGGAAGCAACCAUUCUUUUUAUUUUUUAUUGUUUUGAGAGACAGUCUUGUUCUCUUAACCAGGCUACAGUGCAGUGGUGUGGUCAUAGCUUGCUGGAACCCUCAACUCCUGGGCUUAAGCAGUCCUCCCACUUCAGCCUCUUGAGUAGCUGGGUAUAUAGGCAUGUGAUGUGUCACCAUGCCUAGCUCAUAAAAAGAAUUUUUUUUUUUUUUGGAGAAACAGUCUUGCUAUGUUGCCCAAGCUGGUUUCUUAACUCCUGGCUUCAAUAGAUCCUCUCACUUUAGCCUCCCAGAGUGUUGGGAUUACAGGCAUGAGCUACCACAUCCAGCACAAAAUCAUGCUUAUUUUAAAACUCAUAAAAUAUCUGAAUAAAUGAACUUGGAUAUCUUAAAAUUCUGAUUAUUUGAACUUUUCUAAGUCCCAAGUGGCUUUUCUUUAUGCUUCAUGUAAUUCUUUUCUUUAACAUGAAAUCUAAAUAGAAAAUACAGCAUCAAGAGUGGUUUAAGUCAAAGGCAAUACAUUGGUAGGAAAUCAUUCAGAUGAUGUUAUCAAUGAAAUGCUCUUUUAUUUCAACUUCAAACAUGAGGUAGCCCUAAAACAAAAAAUGAUUUGCUAUCAACUGCUAGGAUGUUUUUAUUUCUUCUUAUGUUUUAGCUUUGCAUCCCUAUAGAUUUUCUUAAAAAUUACUGUUUGUUUUCCUGUGAUUAAGGUCAAGAUUACCUUUUAAUAUCUCAGGAUAGCUGUUAGAAUAGAGGAUUCAAAGGCUGAUAGCCUCACAGAGUCUUACUCUGUCGCCCAGGCUGGAGUGCAGUGGCGCAAUCUUGGCUCACUGCAACCUCCGCCUCUCGGGUUCAAGCAAUUCUUCUGCCUUAGCCUCCCGAGUAGAUGGGGCUAAAGGCACGCGCCACCACGCCCAGCCAAUUUUUGUAUUGUUAGUAGUGAUGGUGUCUCACCAUGUUGGCCAGGCUGGUCUUGAGCUCCUGACCUCAGGUGAUCGGCCUGCCUCAGCCUCCCAAAGUGCUGGUAUUACAGGCGUGAGCCACCAUGCUCAGCCCUUUAUUCUUUUUUUUUGAGACGAGGUCUUACUCUGUUGCCCAGGCUGAAGUAUAGUAGUCUGAUCAUGGCUCACCGCAGCCUUGAACUCCUGGGCUUAAGUGAUCCUCCGACCUCAGCCUUUUGAAUAGCUAGGACUACAGGCACAAUCCACCACACUGGGCUAAUUUUUAAAUUUUUUGUAGAGAUGAAGUCUCACUAUGUUGCCCAUGUUGGUCUUGAACUCCUCGGCUCAAGCAGUCCUCCUGCCUUGGCCUCCCAAAGUACUGGGAUUAUAGGGUGAGCCACCGUGCCCGGACUCUUUAUUCUUUGAUUAAUGCCAUACCAUGGCUCAUGGAUAUAUUAGAAUUACUAGGAUAACAUGUUAGGAAAACUAAGAUGUUACUGUGGAAGUUGUGCACUUUAAAGAAUCUUAAACGUUUGCCAGCCGUAGUGGCUCAUGCCUGUAAUCCCAGCACUUUGGGAGGCCGAGGCGGGCGGAUCAUGAGGUCAGGAGUUCGAGACCAGCCUGACUAAUAUGGUGAAACCCCGUCUCUACUAAAAAUACAAAAAAAUUAGCUGGGUGUGGUGGUGCGCGCCUGUAAUCCCAACUACUCGGGAGGCUGAGGCAGGAGAAUUGCUUGAAUCCGGGAGACGGAGGUUGCAGUGAGCCGAGAUCAUGCCACUGCACUCCAGCCUGGGUGACAGAGCAACACUCCGUCCCGGAAAAAGGGAAAAAAAAGAACCUUAGUGAUUAGAGUUCAGUAAGACCUUAUAUUGAGGAAACAAGAGUAUGAGUGGUGAAAUGGCUUUUUUUUUUUUUUUUAUUGAGAUGGAGUCACGCUGUCGUCCAUGCUGGAGUGCAGUGGCGCUAUCUCUGCUCUCUGCAGUCUCUGUCUCCUGGGUUCAAGUGAUUCUGCUGCCCCAGCCUCCUGAGUGGCUGGGACUACAGGUGUGCGCCACCGCCCCCUGCCGAUUUUUGUAUUUUUAGUAGAGAUGGGGUUUUGCCAUGUUGGUUAGGCUGGUCUCGAACUACUGACCUCAGAUGAUCUGCGUGUCUUGGCCUCCCAAAGUACUGGGGUUACAGGUGUGAGCCACUGCGCCCGGCCGAAAUGGUUUUUUUCUUAGUAGCUCAGCAUCUUAAUACAGAACUGGAAAUGGGUCACGCAUCUUCUCAUUUUCCUAUUCAAUUCUUUUCCUACUAAAUUACACAAUUCUUUGUUUCAUUUAAAACACUUAAGCUGAGAGUGGUUCUAAAAAGUGGAUUGGGGUCAAAUUUUUUUUUUUUUUUUUUGAGAUGGAGUUUCGCUGUUGUUGCCCAGGCUGGAGUGCAAUGGUGUGAUCUCGGCUCACUACAGCCUCUGCCCCCAGAGUUCAAGCGAUUCUCCUGUCUCAGCCUCCUGAGUAGCGGGGAUUACAGGCACCUGCCACCAUGCUGGGCUAAUUUUUUGUAUUUUUAUUGGAGACAGGAUUUCGCCAUGUUGGCCAGGCUGGUCUUGAACUCCUGGCCUCAGGUGAUCCCCCCACUUCAGCCUUGGAAAGUGUUGGGAUUACAAGGCGUGAGCCACUGUGCCCGGCCAAAUUCUUAAAGUACCUAACGUCAAAGUCAGUCUUGAAUAAUUACUCUCUAAUUUAGAUUAAGCUUGAUAAUAACUGUUAAAAAACCUUUCCUCUGUAGGUUGAACACAAAAGGAAAACAAUGCAUUUAUUUCACUGCACUUUGUUAAAUGCUUGCAGUUAGCUUGUGUAAAAAUGAAAGUUGGCUUCAAGCAAA